rnacentral:rRNA from 1 species
AUUGAACGCUGGCGGCAGGCCUAACACAUGCAAGUCGAGCGGCAGCACUUCGGGUGGCGAGCGGCGGACGGGUGAGUAACACGUAGGAAUCUACCUAGUAGUGGGGGAUAGCCCGGGGAAACUCGGAUUAAUACCGCAUACGCUCUACGGAGGAAAGGGGGCGUUCGGCUCUCGCUAUUAGAUGAGCCUGCGUCGGAUUAGCUAGUUGGUGAGGUAAAGGCUCACCAAGGCGACGAUCCGUAACUGGUCUGAGAGGAUGAUCAGUCACACUGGAACUGAGACACGGUCCAGACUCCUACGGGAGGCAGCAGUGGGGAAGUAUUGGACAAUGGGGGAACCCGUGAUCCAGCCAUGCCGCGUGUGUGAAGAAGGCCUCGGUUGUAAGUACGACUU